rfam:Medicago truncatula strain A17 chromosome 2, whole genome shotgun sequence.
ACCAAUGAUGUUUUUUAACAAUCCAACUUGUCUGAGGUUGUAGUUAACCCAAGAUCCUGUUCGCAGGGUGAACCUACUUGGUGUUGCUACAUUUCCAAUGACAUAAAGAGAUUAAACUGAGGU